GCCAACUGACAGCAUGCUGUGAAACGGUAACUGCGGGCCGUGUUUACUAAAAUCACUGCUCACAUCUUGCAUCCGGCGAGAUCUGGUGAACAUUCAGUGAAUUUUCGGUCGCUUGAUGUUCAUGAAUAUGUCAUUUUUUGUAAACAGUGCCCGCAGUUACAGAAGAAAAGAAAAAGCAAUCCUGAGGAAAAAGAAGACCGUGGAUAAGUCCAUUAUCACUAUUUAUACCGCUCAAUUUAACUAUGUUUGUAUUGUACAUUCUACUAUAUUAUUGUACACCAUGCCUUUUUUAUGGUUACCAUGAACAGGCAUCAUUCUUGAUAAUAAAAAAAUACCCUCACACGGUCAAUCGUGUUUGCUUCAAUAAGAAUCAACUGCACUACCCGUUGCAGUUUAAUCCAAAUUAUGUUUUAUUGGUAAUUGGAAUACUUAUCUGGAUGUCCAGGACAGGAGAAAUGCGUGAUCAAUUUUAAUGCAUCCUGGGCGAACUGAGCGGAGAAAAUUGUUCCCCAUCCAAUGAUCCGUCGUUUGAGCUAGUGGGCGGAAAAAUAUGGAGACCACAAUAGCAAUCGCUGAAAAUCUGGGGCUCGAAAGAGUGAAAUCAAGAACUUCAGCUACAGCCUGUAGGCAUCCUCUAGAAGCAUCCGGGUCGGAAAAUUACUCUGUGGGUUUUUAACGGCUCCGCUGAUGGUGACCAAAAAAACUCCGCUCCAACAUCUCCCGGAAAUUUAUUAUAAAAAUGUUUGUUAUAUGUAUUUAUUGAAAACUUUAUUUGAUUAAAAUGUACUAAACUUUAUGUUAAUUAUUCAUCUACAGUUUUUUUUAAACGUGAGCAAUAACGGAUGACACUACUGCUGAAUUACGUACAUAGUAAUUCAAACUAUGUUACGAUAGUCAAACUUACCAUGCCGCAUGUGACACACAUGGUAAAAUUAACUAUGGAAUAAUAUUUGAAAAUACCGUAAAAUGUAAAUAAAAAGCGGCAUGGUAAAUUGUACCCUGCACAUGGUAGUUUCAAAAAUAAUUCAUGGUCUACCAAAAUCAAGUGGUAAAAGUGUCUUAAUUUCACCCUCGAUUUGGUCACCGUUACCUUGACUCUUUUUUCAGUGUGGUCAAUGUUGACGACCAUUUCACUAAAAUAGUUUUUUUUUUUAUAAAAAGACUUUUCAUAAGUUUUUUCGUGCUUAACAUCACCAGGGAUAUAGCACGCACUAGGUAAGAAACAAAACCUACUCAUUCCAUAUCAUUUUCACAAUGAAUUUUGACAAAAACACACAUACACCGGGUUGGUUCGAGAUACGUCAUGCCAGAUACGUCGCUUUUGUAUGGUGCCAGUUUGGUGUAUCUGUUACUUUUGAUUUUGGCUAGAUACGUCGUUUGGUUUUCUCAUAUAUCAAAACAAACUUUUUCCAAAUCCUGCCAAAACAAAGGCCAUUAUUUUUUGCAAAGACGGCGUUGUGAACCCUCAGAUUGAUGUUCGUUUCUGCGGUGAAACUAUUGAUCUAUCGGACGAAGUAACGAACUUUGGACUCAUCAUGGACUCUCGCUUGAAAUGGUCCAUGAAAGUAUACAACACCCUUCGCACGUUCCGCCGGUUCCAGAAGGUGCUAUCUAUGCAGACCAGACAUAAAUUGGCUCAAGCUGUGCUGAUUCCGUUUUUCCUGUAUUGCGACGCUGUGUAUUACCCGGGAUUGUCUGCUGCUCAAAAAGAACAGCUUCAUCGCUGCUUCAAGUCGGUGAUAAGAUUCGUUUAUGGUCUCCGACGGUUUGAUUCUACCAGAGCGGUCCGACACACCUUAAUGGGAUGUGACCUGACCGAGAACUAUCUGAGUUUGCUGCUUCAUGCACACUGUGUACAACGGAAAGGCUCCUGAGUACAUAGCACAACAUGUACGGAGGGGAAACAAUCAGCGUGCGAAGUCGUUCAUCAUACCACGCCACACAACGAGUACUCGCAGAAGUCUCCUAAUCUACGGGGCAUCUACCUGGAACUCACAACCACUGACCAUAAGGAACCAAACAACGAUGUCAACCUUCAAAGCUGCGCUUAAUCGAGCAUGAAGAUGUAUAAUUAACACCUGAGACACUAACACCUAUCCAAACCCCUAACACUAAAAUAUGUCAUUUUGUAAAUCUCAAAUAUUUGUAAGUGUCCUUGACCUGAUGUAUGGCUUAAGCUGGCAGGUUGCCGUAUUAUUUGAAAAAUAAAUGUAAAUGUAAAUGUAAAAAAUGUAAAACGGUGUAUCUAUCAGCAAAGUUGUAAACAUCAAAAUAGUUAGAUACGUCGUUUCGAAUAAUAUGCUUAGUUAAACAAAUUAAGCAAUGAAUCAUCAAACAGUGAUAUGGAUUCUUCAAUAAUUUUCGUGUUUUUGCAUAUAGUGUCUUUAGUUUACAUUCUCGAGUUACGUCGGAUUGAAAAGUUAUGCUUGAAUUAAGCAAUAAAUCAUGCAUGCAUGCAACAGUAAACCCGGAUUUGUUUACAUUCUCGAGUUACGUCGGAUUGAAAAGUUAUGCUUGCAUUUUACGAGACGUUUCGGAUCAGCUGAUCGCUCAUUUCAUGCACGCUAACCCUCAGUUACCCAGAUUGAUGUCAAAGCGACCCAGACUGAGCAAAACUGCAGUUACUCUAAACUGAGUAAAGGCCCCUUUACUCAAAUCUGGGUUACCGAUGUUGGUGGCAAAAUCUGGGUAAACGAUACCCAGCUCCUCCGGGGCCUUGAUUUUGUUAAUUUAUUUCCAAAUUAGAUUUUGAUUAAAAAGCUCUCAGUUGCCACGUGCUAUUCACUGGAAAACAGUUCCCCGGAAUAAUUCCACUGUUUUCCCGUCAUUUAUCGGCAUAUUUUUCGCGAAAACAUUCAUAGCUUCCAGCGUUCUCCUGACCGCCGCCAUAUUCUCAAGCUGAAAAGUGACAAAGUGCCGAUUACCCAGAUCUUUACCCAAAUUCAGCGAAUCUGGGUUUUCGGGUUACCCGGAUUUUGACAACUGCCAACAACAUAAAAAUCCGGGUCGAAUCGACCCAGUCGAUGGGUAGUUUCAGGUUAGCGUGUAUACACAG